CAGAUGAUAGUACAAAGGAAAAGAAAGAAAUUGCAUGGGGUGACGAGGAGGAUGCAAUUUCUAUUGAAAGGUUAGAACAGAUAAUUAAGGAAUCCAUGCAAGUGUUUUUGGAGUUUGUCGGAGAUAAAGAUGAUGGGAGUGUGUUCCAUAGAGUAUCUCAUCACAAAGGGAAUGAGCUCAAGGAGGAAGACAUUUUAGAACUUCUAGGAGAUAUCUGAACCCAAUUGCAUAAGAAGGAGAGAAAGCUGAUCAAGCACAAGUGGAUAAGCGAGAAUUGGAUCGUAAAGAAGUUCCAAAAACGCAACGAGGAUCAUGAGCAGUUGAUGGCUCAAGUAGGAUUGAGGUUGAUUUCAAAG